UGGGGAAUUUUGCGCAAUGGGCGAAAGCCUGACGCAGCAACGCCGCGUGGGUGAUGAAGGUCUUCGGAUCGUAAAACCCUGUCGUCAGGGACGAAGGUCGGUCGUUGAAUAGGCGAUUGGCUUGACGGUACCUGGAGAGGAAGCCCCGGCUAACUCUGUGCCAGCAGCCGCGGUAAUACAGAGGGGGCAAGCGUUAUUCGGAAUUAUUGGGCGUAAAGGGCGCGUAGGCGGUUUUUUAAGUGAGAUGUGCAAUCCCCGAGCUUAACUUUGGAACUGCAUCUCAGACUGGAAGGCUAGAGUGCUGGAGAGGGUGGUAGAAUUCCACGUGUAGCGGUGAAAUGCGUAGAGAUGUGGAGGAAUACCAGUGGCGAAGGCGGCCACCUGGACAGUAACUGACGCUGAGGCGCGAAAGUGUGGGGAGCAAACA
rnacentral:rRNA from 1 species